ensembl:snRNA U6 U6 spliceosomal RNA
GUGCUCACUUCCGCAGCACAAACACUAAAAUUGGAACAAUGUAGAGAAGAUUAGUAUGGCUCCUGCCCAAAAAUGACAUACAAAUUCAUGAAGCUUUCCAUCAGUUU